UACGAAGGGGGCUAGCGUUGCUCGGAAUCACUGGGCGUAAAGGGUGCGUAGGCGGGUCUUUAAGUCAGGGGUGAAAUCCUGGAGCUCAACUCCAGAACUGCCUUUGAUACUGAGGAUCUUGAGUUCGGGAGAGGUGAGUGGAACUGCGAGUGUAGAGGUGAAAAUUCGUAGAUAUUCGCAAGAACACCAGUGGCGAAGGCGGCUCACUGGCCCGAUACUGACGCUGAGGUGCGAAAGCGUGGGGAGCAAACAGG
rnacentral:rRNA from 1 species